rnacentral:rRNA from 1 species
AUUGAACGCUGGCGGCAUGCUUUACACAUGCAAGUCGAACGGUAACAGGCCGCAAGGUGCUGACGAGUGGCGAACGGGUGAGUAAUGCAUCGGAACGUGCCCAGUCGUGGGGGAUAACUACUCGAAAGAGUAGCUAAUACCGCAUACGAUCUAUGGAUGAAAGCGGGGGACCGUAAGGCCUCGCGCGAUUGGAGCGGCCGAUGUCAGAUUAGGUAGUUGGUGGGGUAAAGGCUCACCAAGCCAACGAUCUGUAGCUGGUCUGAGAGGACGACCUGCCACACUGGGACUGAGACACGGCCCAGACUCCUACGGGAGGCAGCAGUGGGGAAUUUUGGACAAUGGGCGCAAGCCUGAUCCAGCAAUGCCGCGUGCAGGAAGAAGGCCUUCGGGUUGUAAACUGCUUUUGUACGGAACGAAACGGCUCUGGUUAAUACCCGGGGCUAAUGACGGUACCGUAAGAAUAAGCACCGGCUAACUACGUG